rnacentral:rRNA from 1 species
AUUGAACGCUGGCGGCAGGCCUAACACAUGCAAGUCGAACGAGUGGCGGACGGGUGAGUAAUGUCUGGGAAACUGCCCGAAGGAGGGGGAUAACUACUGGAAACGGUAGCUAAUACCGCAUACCAUCGGAUGUGCCCAGAUGGGAUUAUCUAGUAGGUGGGGUAACGGCUCACAUAGGCGACGAUCCCUAGCUGGUCAGAGAGGAUGACCAGCCACACUGGAACUGGGACACGGUCCAGACUCCUACGGGGGGCAGCAGUGGGGAAUAUUGCACAAUGGGCGCAAGCCUGAUGCAGCCAUGCGGGGUGUAUGAAGAAGGCCUUCGGGUUGUAAAGUACUUUCAGCGAGGAGGCGUUACUCGCAGAAGAAGCGCCGGCUAACUCCGUGCCAGCCGCCGCGGUAAUUC